AAGACUCUACUUUCAGGGAUCAUUUCUUUAGUUUGGAACUAGAGGAUUGUGUUUCUACAGAGGUUGGUCUUGCUGUCCAUGAUGAUGAAUGAAGAUGUUUCCUUCAGAGAAGGAAGCUGGUGAGAAGAUGAGAAUCUUCUUCAUUGAUGAAGACUGUUCAGUGUUUCUGCAUUUGACACUGAAGGAGGAAACAUUGUCUGAGUGGA
rnacentral:snoRNA from 2 species